GCUCACGCGGAUCUAUCGGAUCGUUUUAGAAACAUUCAGGGGCCAACAGAUCGCCAGAUCGUUGAGCUCCAUAGGCGGGAUUUCGCCGUCUUCGUUUCUCUUUCUUCGCGGACGAACACGCGCCAGGGGCCGCGCUGUGCGAUGCGUCUGGUGCAAGCCGGAUGCGAGCGGGCAGGCUUCGAUCCCUAUGUAGGGAGAGCGUUGGGGCUUGUAGCUCAGUUGGUUAGAGCGCGCGCUUGAUAAGCGUGAGGUCGGAAGUUCAAGUCUUCCCAGGCCCACCAUUUGAUCGAGUGCAUGUGUCUCUCAAGCUUGACCUGUAGCAUUCGUCUUCUGGUUACGGGGCCAUAGCUCAGCUGGGAGAGCGCGUGCUUUGCAAGCAUGAGGUCGUCGGUUCGAUCCCGUCUGGCUCCACCAGAUGAAGUCGAAGAUCGACGCUGCAUGCUGCAGUCAUCGAGACCAAUUCGUCCGCGAAACAUCAAUUCGCGCGCAUCAUCCGAAAUCGGAUGUGCGUUGCGUGAUUUCUGACAUCGUAAAGAGGAGAUCGAUCCGAGUUGGAUCGUGCAAGCAAUUGCGCGACCCAUCACUAUCUCCGGAUCAUUUCGGCGCUCGCACAUCCACAAGAUGUGCGGGUUGUAAAUGGUCUCGUUAGCGAAGCCUGACCGCCUCGCUAUCGGUUCGAUCUUACGAAGCAAGCUGGUCUUUCUAGUCAAUGUCCGGCUGCGUGAUCUCUCCUUGUGGGAGUGCGCGGCAUACAUUCUGCCGAGUGUGUGGACAUUGAUAAUGAGAGCAAUCAAGUGCCUUAAGGGUGUUCGGUGGAUGCCUUGGCGCUGAGAGGCGAUGAAGGACGUGCUACGCUGCGAUAAGCCGUGGG
rnacentral:misc_RNA from 1 species